rnacentral:misc_RNA from 1 species
AACGCAUAUGGCACCCGAGACCUCGGUCGAGGGUAUGCCUGUCUCAGAGUCGGCGUAAAAACAUCCCCGAGGCAGAGCAGAGCAGAGCGCCUGCCUGCCGAGGGGGAGCUGGCCCUCCCGGGGGGAGAGAUCGCCCCGGGUCGGCUGAAGGAGAGAGACGGGGGACCGCACGCGCCGGACCGCCACGAUUUUGGUGGGAGGACCCAGCGUCCCGUUCAUCGAUCGUGCGUCCGAUACCGCCGCCCGCCGGCGUAGCGUGGAGGCCUUCCCCGCCCCGGACAGGAACCGAAAGCACCACUUCCGACCUGAGAUCAGGCAAGAUCACCCGCUGAACUUAA